GAAACACCAAUAGCUCUGCAGCCUAAUCCCAAAGAGACAGACUGAUCUCAUCCCGCAUUUGAUGUCCUGAGAAAUAUCUACUGGUCUAUAAAACUUUUCGCCAGCUGCAACAGAGAAAAUCUGUCAGUUGUUUAGGUCUUCAGAAAGGAAUAUGGCCCCACUGACAUCUUCAUUUUAGACCAAUGAGACCAUUUCAGAUUUCUAACCUCCAGAAUGUUGUCCCUUGAACAGAGUGCCAGACAUCCUUGAGUGUGAACUCAAGCAUCACUAUGAACAAAGCUAGUGGAAGUGAUGGAAUUCCAGCUGAGCUCUUUCAAAUCCUAGAAGAUGAUGCUGUGAAAGUGCUGCACUCAAUAUGC